rnacentral:piRNA from 2 species
UAACAUUAGAAACUUCAGUGGAGGUGGUGU